rnacentral:rRNA from 1 species
AUUGAACGCUGGCGGCAGGCCUAACACAUGCAAGUCGAACGGUAACAGGAAACAGCUUGCUGUUUCGCUGACGAGUGGCGGACGGGUGAGUAAUGUCUGUGAAACUGCCUGAUGGAGGGGGAUAACUACUGGAAACGGUAGCUAAUACCGCAUAACGUCGCAAGACCAAAGAGGGGGACCUUCGGGCCUCUUGCCAUCGGAUGUGCCCAGAUGGGAUUAGCUAGUAGGUGGGGUAACGGCCCACCUAGGCGACGAUCCCUAGCUGGUCUGAGAGGAUGACCAGGCAAAAUGGAACUGAGAAACGGUCCAGACUCCUACGGGAGGCAGCAGUGGGGAAUAUUGGACAAUGGGCGCAAGCCUGAUGGAGCCAUGCCGGGUGGGUGAAGAAGGCCUUCGGGUUGUAAAGGUCUUUUCGCCGGGAAGAAAGGGGUUAAGUUAAUACCCUUGCCUCAUGACGGUACCCGGAGAAGAAGCACCGGCUAACUCCGUG